AGGCGUAUGUAUAUGUUGCUGGAAAGCCGCUAGCAAAGACAGGCGUCGAGUAUCAUCAGUGCUGCCGGCGUGAAAAAUGAGGAUAAUAAGCCUCUCAAUUAAGGGAAUAUAUUAGCAGGCAUGAACGAGACUGUUGAAGCAUUUGUUGUCUUCAUGCAUGCUUCGGUAUCUGGGCGAAUUCUGCCAGAACACUUCAACUUCACGUUUGGCAAGGUCCCAAACUUCAUUUGUGUCAAUUCGGCAAACAGAGAAUUUGAGACAUGUUUGCGGCUGGUAGAAAUGUUCAGUCACUCGGGUGACUGGAUAUUGGAUGUUAAUUUACCCGAAGCUGGCGGUGUUGCAGCAGUCACGAUCAAACGCAAUUGCCUCAUUCUGGUAAAAACAGA